rnacentral:rRNA from 2 species
UAACGACUCUCGGCAACGGAUAUCUCGGCUCUCGCAUCGAUGAAAAACGUAGCGAAAUGCGAUACUUGGUGUGAAUUGCAGAAUCCCGUGAACCAUCGAGUCUUUGAACGCAAGUUGCGCCCGAAGCCUUCCGGCCGAGGGCACGUCUGCCUGGGCGUCACG